CACAAUCCCGUGUGUGUUUUUCCUCUAAUGUUGCGUCUCUUCCAAACAAAUAUGUCUAGUCUUGCUUUUUUACAUGUUGGGUAGGUAUAAGGUCGAAAUAACCUUGUCCCGGACGAAAUUGGAGAAAAUUCGCUUCACUGGCGCUUUGGCUAGCGCCAAGCGCCCUCCACGGUGCUCCAAUAUUUUUAGUGACUAAUUUUGGUGCCAUAUGUAGUGCUGGGUGCCACCUGUCGCGCCAAAAUUUGCAAGUUUCCCAGUUUCUCUUGUUCCGGCUCAAACCUUGCGCGUGUCGUCCUCAAUUGCUCUCGAAUAAUUCCUACGCAUAAAAACAUAUUAAAUUAACAUAAAUCAACAAAUUUCACAUCCUUAAUCCGUGAAAUAAAAGUAAAAUAUGAGGUGAUAUACAUACAAAUAUAUAUGUCUUAAGCUAAACAUCAACACCCACACUUAGACUCUUACUUUUCCUCGAGCAAUGGGA
rnacentral:lncRNA from 1 species